UGUUUGUGUGGUUUUUUUAGGGUGAAAAGAAAAUUAGGAUGUGAUAGGUGAAAGGUUAGGAUUUGAGGGGUGUAAGGGUUUUUGUUUUUAUUUGAAAGGAGUGGACGGUUGGGGUAGGAAAAUUUGGGUUUAAAUUUGGGGUAGUGGAGUUGUUUUUUCUAGGAGAAAAGUUUAAUUUGAUGGGUGAAAGGUUAGGAUGUGAUGGGUGUAGGGGUUUUUUUUUAAAUUGGAAAAGGGUUGGACGGUUGGGGUGGGAAAAUUUGGGUUUAAAUUUUGAUUUUUUUUCUUUUUGGUUUUGGGUACG
rnacentral:lncRNA from 1 species